UAAGCUGUAUGAACUUUGAUGAAGGUUUCGGCUGCAGACCUGGUUCAGAGUCUCACGCUGGUCAGAUUUACUGCUGCACCGGCUUCCUGUCGCUCACCGGGCAGCUGCACCAGGUGAAGGCCGACCUGCUGGGCUGGUGGCUCUGCGAGAGGCAGCUGAAGUCCGGAGGUCUUAACGGACGACCUGAGUAGCUUCCUGACGUGUGCUACUCAUGGUGGGUGCUGGCGUCACUGAAGAUCAUUGGCAGGAUUCACUGGAUCGACAAGGCCAAGCUGCGAGCGUUCAUCCUGGCCUGCCAGGACGAGGAGACGGGGGGGUUCGCUGAAAGACCAGGAGAC